GAUGGUGAGACUGCUGAAGUGUACUUGACUGAUGUCAAGAGCGAAGGUAGAUUCAACGAGGCGAUGCGCAAUUUCCCUGGACCACUUUGCAGGGGCAAAACCCAUAAACGGGAUGUUGUAAAGUAUGCCAAAGAGAUGGCCAUGAUGGCUUUCAACAACCAAAGCGAUUCUUUUGAAAAACGCGAGGCUGUCUACAUUCUUUGGCAAGUGUUGGCUGUUAUGG